CACUGGAGCGUUACAGAUGUACUUCAGAGAGCUGCGCUCUCUUCCACGACUUCAUCAGCGCAAUCAAGAGUCCAGACUACAAGCAGCGGGUUCAGUCCAUUAAAGAUCUGGUCCGACAGCUUCCCGUCUGCAACCACGACACCAUGCAGACUCUCUUCAAGCACCUCAGGAAGGUGAUCGAGCACGGCGAGGAGAACCGUAUGACCACUCAGAGCGUGGCCAUCGUGUACUGCGCCCCGAACAGGAGACGUGGAACAUCGCGGUCCACAUGGUGUACCAGAACCAGAUCGUGGAGCUCAUACUGCUGGAGUACGAGAACAUU